rnacentral:rRNA from 1 species
GAUGAACGCUGGCGGCGUGCUUAACACAUGCAAGUCGAACGGUGAAGGCGGAGCUUGCUCUGCUGGAUCAGUGGCGAACGGGUGAGUAACACGUGAGCAAUCUGCCCCUGACUCUGGGAUAAGCGCUGGAAACGGCGUCUAAUACUGGAUACGAGCUGCGAAGGCAUCUUCAGCAGCUGGAAAGAACUUCGGUCAGGGAUGAGCUCGCGGCCUAUCAGCUUGUUGGUGAGGUAACGGCUCACCAAGGCGUCGACGGGUAGCCGGCCUGAGAGGGUGACCGGCCACACUGGGACUGAGACACGGCCCAGACUCCUACGGGAGGCAGCAGUGGGGAAUAUUGCACAAUGGGCGAAAGCCUGAUGCAGCAACGCCGCGUGAGGGACGACGGCCUUCGGGUUGUAAACCUCUUUUAGCAGGGAAGAAGCGAAAGUGACGAUACCUGCAGAAAAAGCGCCGGCUAACUACGUG